AGAUUGUUUCCCGAAUCGAUUGCCGGAACAACACAAACACAAAGCGAUGAAUUCCGGCUGUCGGCCGUGGACUCUCAUAGCAAACAAUUUCAUUGCCUGAAAAAAACAAAGAAGAUAAUUAAAGGUCCUGGUGGAAGAGGUUGCAGAUACUACAACAUGCUCUGUUUCUUGAUAUCUCCUCCUUCUCUUUUUUUCCUAUUAUCUCGAUACAUAUUAUUGGUCGGUAUGACUUUAUCAUGAUAUUUCCAUCAAACAAGACUACUUGAUGAUGCCUUUCGGAUGAGGCCAAAAAAAAAAAGUUUCAUCUUUGGCUUAUUUCUGAUAGGCAUGGCUCAUAUUUUGUUCUCACUCUAGAUGAAGUUGAGUGAUAGAAGAAAUAGCCAUUGUGGAUGCCAUUCAGCUAGUAUAGAUUCUACAGUAAAAGAUGCAUGAUGAAGGAUUGGAGACUUGUCAUGCUGCUGUUCUCACUCACCAAAGCUGGUGUUCUUUGUUUCUGGUGCUCUCUUUCGGUUGGAUUGCUGGGGCUUGGUGCAUCUGGAUCCACCAUGACCUUGUAAAAUCAUCAGGAAUGGUUCUUUCUUCUUUGGUAGCCAUGCAGAAUGCACAACCCUCACACCUCAGAUUUGGACAUGGAACGCAUGAAACACCAACAUGAGCCACACUUGUCCCUCCACAACUAGUUCAAGCAGUAAGUCACCGAUCAUCCUUAUCAUUCACUGACCAAGCAGUGCCAGCAUCUACCGGUGGGCUGGUCAAGACAAGACUUACAUCACUGUUCUAAGUGGAAUGGCCAAACAAGAGUCACUAGUAUCUACUUUGAAAUGGCAUGAAAGAUGAACAGAUGUCAGCAUGAUUGGGAAGAUUAAGUAUCCAGAAAAGGAAAGUCAAGGUGUCUUAUCAAUGCAGUGUAUGCAUCCUGGGCAAUGCCAGGAAUGCAAAAAAGUUCGACGGUCAUUUCCAACAGUGCAUCUAACUACUGGCCUAUGAUUCUUGUACUCACGGUGGGAUGACUGCUUCGUCCUAGAUUUCUUUUCUUGGAGAAAGAGCACAAGAAAAGAACAGGACAUCUUGGGCUGGGCUCAAUUACUAUCGAGACUUCAACCACAUGGAACAGCAGCUGCUGAGGCAAGAGCAGCCAGAAAGUUUGGUAUGAUCUCAUUCUCUUAAUCAUGCAGCUAGCUAAUCAUCAACUUAUUGG